rnacentral:misc_RNA from 1 species
CCGAAUUGUUGACACGAGUUGUUGCUGGCCUUCGAAUGGGGGCAUGUGCACGCUCUGUCUACACAUCCACCCACCCCCCGUGCACCUCCUGUAGUUCCAUGGUCCGGAGGCUCCGCUUCCCUUCUGUGGUUCUAUGUUUUUACACACACACGUUAAAGAAGUCUUGUGGAAUGUACGCCGCGUGUAACGCAAUACAAUA